UACAGGGGGUGCAAACGUUGCUCGGAAUCAUUGGGCGUAAAGCGCACGUAGGCGGUUCGUUAUGUCGGGUGUGAAAGCCCUUGGCUUAACCGAGGAAGUGCAUCCGAAACUGGCGAGCUAGAGUACUAAAGAGGAUCGCGGAAUUCCCGGUGUAGAGGUGAAAUUCGUAGAUAUCGGGAGGAACACCGGUGGCGAAGGCGGCGAUCUGGGUAGAUACUGACGCUGAGGUGCGAAAGCGUGGGGAGCAAACAGG
rnacentral:rRNA from 1 species